GAUGAACGCUAGCUACAGGCUUAACACAUGCAAGUCGAGGGGCAGCAUGGUCUUAGCUUGCUAAGGCCGAUGGCGACCGGCGCACGGGUGAGUAACACGUAUCCAACCUGCCGUCUACUCUUGGACAGCCUUCUGAAAGGAAGAUUAAUACAAGAUGGCAUCAUGAGUCCGCAUGUUCACAUGAUUCAAGGUAUUCCGGUAGACGAUGGGGAUGCGUUCCAUUUGAUAGUAGGCGGGGUAACGGCGCCCCUAGUCUUCGAUGGAUAGGGGUUGUGAGAGGAAGGGCCCCCAGAGGGGAACUGGGAAACGGGCCAAACACCUACGGGAGGCAGCAGUGAGGGAGAUAGGUGAAUGGGAGAGAGCCUGAACCAGCCAAGUAGCGUGAAGGAUGACUGCGCGAUGGGUUGUAAACUUCUUUUAGAAAGGCAUAAAGGCGGGUAUCGAUGCGCGUGUGCAUGUACUUGAUGAAGAAGGAUCGGCUAACUCCGUG
rnacentral:rRNA from 1 species